GUCAAACUUUAAUUACGAGAGUGAUACAGCAACUAAACACGCCAGCAGCAUUUACUAGUGGUAAAAUAUGUCAAUAAAUACCGCUACCUGUGUGUUCAAACUCCAAAACACCAGUGAUAGACAGGGAUUAGAUACCCCUUUAUACAGGUGCUUAACAAAUUUGCUGAGAACUAAGACUUUAAAGUUAAAACUCAAACAGCAUGGCGGUAAUUUUUAUUCAGGGGAACUUACCACAUAAUUGAUAACCACCAAGGUCAAGUAACUUGAAAAAAUUCUUGUAUGCCGUCGUCGUCAGGUACCACUUAAUGUGUUAUCUUCAAUGCCUAAACACAAAAGACAGAUCAAGGUGCAGACAAUUUUCAAGCGUCGGCGAGUUACGUUUAAAAUUCUUAGCAGACAUAUUAUGUAUUUAAUAUGAAAAGUUGGACUUGACAGUAACAAAGAUUAACUCUAAUUUGUGAAUCACCAAAAUUGUGCACAA
rnacentral:rRNA from 1 species